UAAAUGCUAAUAAGAUAACACUUUAAAUAAAACGCUAUUAAUAUUGUUGACUAAAAUAGCGCUCCCUUCUAAAACGCUAUUAACAUUUUUCACUUUUUUGAACAAGAAUUUUUGUAAUUUUGAUAGCACUUUAUCUAAAGCGCUAAUGUUAUAUUAGCCAUCCCAAUGUUAGCACUUCUGGAAUAAACGCUACUAUUAAUACUAAUUAAAAAAAUUAAAAAAUUAAAAUAUUAGCAGGCAUUUUUUAGGUUUCGCGCACAAUACUGAAUCUUUUCAGCUUGCCACCAAAAUCUAAUCGUGCACAAUACUAAUCGCAAAACUUCUCUCCGCCGAACCUUCUCUCCGCCGAACCUUCUCUCUGCAAUCGUUCUCUCCACCGAACCUUCUCUCUACAAACCCUCUCUCCGCCGAAGCUUCUCUCCGCCAAAGUUCUCUCCGCCGAACUAUCUCUCGCUAUAUUUUUGUCAAACCCUAACUCACGCCGUCAAACACAGCCACAUACUCUAAUCGCAGGCUCUGAGACAGUACCGGAGUUGAAGUCUUCGCCGGAAUCUUCGAAGUGACAGGAAAAUGGUUCAAGUAUGGGACAAUGUGGACCUAGUGGGGAUACAAUUGCAAGUCUUGGAAAUGUUAAAAUGCUGAUGGAUUAGCAGAGGAAAUGUAGAUUUUGUUGGUCCAAGUUUAAUGUUUGGUCCAUUAUUGAAUUUGAAAAUUUUAUGAUGUAAUAACUGUACAGUUUUAUGAAAAAGUUGGAAAUUUUUAUUGAGCCUUUAAA